ensembl:lncRNA
GGAGAAGGUGCCUGACAUUCUCAUGACAGAGUUCAAAGCAGAAUCCAAGAAUGGAUGAGGUUGGCAGGGACCUCUGGGUCCAUCUGCUCCAACCCCUAUUCCAGCAGAGACAUCCACAGAUGGGUGCCCAGGCCCACGUCCAGGCAGGUUUUGAAGAUUUCCAAGGAGGAGACUCUACGAUGUGUGCCAGAGCUCGUCACCCACACUGCACAGAAGUGCUGCCUAGCAUUCAGAGGAAACCUCCUGUGUUCUGGUUUGUGACCACCAACUCUUGUCUUGGCACUAGGCACCACUGAAAACAGCCUGGAUCCAUCUUUUUCACACCCUCCCUUCAGGCUAGUAGAUCAAAGGGGAUAAUGAAGGAUGGCUGCACACACCAGAACCCAUUCAAUGUCAGCAGCAGGAUGACUGAGAGCAAGAUGGCUGGAAGGGAAAGGGACUGGGGACUGCCACCUCUCUUCUGGCAUUGGCACACAAUGAAAUUGUCUCAGGAUGUCUCAUGGAAGCACUGUCUUAAUGCAAGUACUUGUUAGAAGGAAAAUGGAAAUCAAAGACAGAACUGGAAAACCUCUGUGUCCUGUUUGGUGUUUCUUUGGAAGGUGUGGAUAUAUGGAGACAAGCUUGAGGGAUAGGAUCUCGUAUGUCUGCAGAGGAUUUAAUGGGUGAAAGAAGUGUGUGCAUAUGCAGCAGCUGCAGCACACACUGGAGCAAGUGGAUGUAUAAUCUAUUUGGAGAUAACUGGGUAGUUCUCUCACCAGUGUAUGGGGCUGACUGCAUGCUUAGUAGCUGCAAAGUAUGUUUACAGCAAGCGUGCUAUUUUUGAAGAGUUCUGUACUUAACAAUGCAUGGCAAGAGAGCACAGCACACAGCUGCUCCUGCUAGGCUGCUUCAUGUUCUGCAACUGCAGAGCACGCUUAGUCCUGACAUCUGAAGUUUCCAGACAUGAAGCAACAACUUCAGAAAAGUCUGCUUCCUAUAGCUAUCCAAAUUCCAGAAAGCUCAGAAAAAUUUAUGAACUUUUCAAAAUCUGCCUAAAUGGGAUUUCCAGACAGAAAGAGUAAAUGUGUUUGGGAAAAAGAUGCCUGCAACUUUCAGAAAGUCCUUCUCUACCUGUAGAAACCUGAG